UACGUAGGGGGCAAGCGUUGUCCGGAAUCAUUGGGCGUAAAGAGCGCGUAGGCGGUCCGGUAAGUCAGCUGUGAAAGUCAGGGGCUCAACCCUUGAAAGCCGGUUGAUACUGUCGGGCUAGAGUCCGGAAGAGGCGAGUGGAAUUCCCGGUGUAGCAGUGAAAUGCGCAGAUAUCGGGAGGAACACCAAUGGCGAAGGCAGCUCGCUGGGACGGUACUGACGCUGAGGCGCGAAAGCGUGGGGAGCAAACAGG
rnacentral:rRNA from 1 species